rnacentral:hammerhead_ribozyme from 1 species
CGCCUGCUGAGGAGUCCCAUAAUAGGACGAAACAGCCGUCUAGUGC